GUUGACCUCGGAUCAGGUAGGAAUACCCGCUGAACUUAAGCAUAUCAAUAAGCGGAGGAAAAGAAACCAACAGGGAUUGCCCCAGUAACGGCGAGUGAAGCGGCAACAGCUCAAAUUUGAAAUCUGGCCCCAGGCCCGAGUUGUAAUUUGCAGAGGAUGCUUUUGGCGCGGUGCCUUCCGAGUUCCCUGGAACGGGACGCCAUAGAGGGUGAGAGCCCCGUACGGUUGGACACCAAGUCUUUGUAAAGCUCCUUCGACGAGUCGAGUAGUUUGGGAAUGCUGCUCAAAAUGGGAGGUAUAUUUCUUCUAAAGCUAAAUAUUGGCCAGAGACCGAUAGCGCACAAGUAGAGUGAUCGAAAGAUGAAAAGCACUUUGAAAAGAGGGUUAAACAGCACGUGAAAUUGUUAAAAGGGAAGCGCUUAUGACCAGACUUGCGCCCGGUGAAUCACCCAGCUCUCGCGGCUGGGGCACUUUGCCGGCUCAGGCCAGCAUCAGCUCGCUGUCGGGGACAAAAGCUUCGGGAACGUAGCUCUCUUCGGGGAGUGUUAUAGCCCGUUGCACAAUACCCUUCGGCGGGCUGAGGUACGCGCUCCGCAAGGAUGCUGGCGUAAUGGUCAUCAGCGACCCGUCUUGAAACACGGACCAAGGAGUCAACCUUAUGUGCGAGUGUUUGGGUGUCAAACCCCUACGCGUAAUGAAAGUGAACGCAGGUGAGAGCUUCGGCGCAUCAUCGACCGAUCCUGAUGUUCUCGGAUGGAUUUGAGUAAGAGCAUAUAGGGUUGGACCCGAAAGAAGGUGAACUAUGCGUGUAUAGGGUGAAGCCAGAGGAAACUCUGGUGGAGGCUCGCAGCGGUUCUGACGUGCAAAUCGAUCGUCAAAUAUGCGCAUGGGGGCGAAAGACUAAUCGAAC
rnacentral:rRNA from 1 species